AGAAUUUUUCUCAAUGGGCGCAAGCCUGAAGGAGCGACGCCGCGUGGGGGAUGAAGGGUUUCGAUCCGUAAACCCCUGUCAUUCGUGAACAAUGGUUACCGUUGAACAUUCGGUGACUCGAUAGUAACGGAAGAGGAAGGGACGGCUAACUCUGUGCCAGCAGCCGCGGUAAUACAGAGGUCCCGAGCGUUGUUCGGAUUCACUGGGCGUAAAGGGUGCGUAGGUGGCAUGGCAAGUUUGAUGGGAAAGCUCAGGGCUUAACCCUGAAAUGGCAUUGAAUACUGCUGUGCUGGAGGUUUGGAGGGGGGACUGGAAUUCUCGGUGUAGCAGUGAAAUGCGUAGAUAUCGAGAGGAACACCAGUGGCGAAGGCGAGUCCCUGGACAACACCUGACACUGAGGCACGAAAGCUAGGGGAGCAAAC
rnacentral:rRNA from 1 species